rnacentral:rRNA from 1 species
UACGGAGGGGGCUAGCGUUGUUCGGAAUUACUGGGCGUAAAGCGCACGUAGGCGGCUUUGUAAGUUAGAGGUGAAAGCCCAGGGCUUAACCCUGGAAUUGCCUUUAAGACUGCAUCGCUAGAAUCGUGGAGAGGUAAGUGGAAUUCCGAGUGUAGAGGUGAAAUUCGUAGAUAUUCGGAAGAACACCAGUGGCGAAGGCGACUUACUGGACACGUAUUGACGCUGAGGUGGCGAAAGCGUGGGAGCAAACAGG